GCUGAGGUGGCGGAACUUGGCAUACGCGCACGUUUGAGGGGCGUGUCCUUUACUUGGGGUGCGGGUUCAAAUCCCGCCCUCAGCA
rnacentral:tRNA from 1 species